rnacentral:tRNA from 1 species
UCCCUGGUGUCUCAGAUGGUAAAGCAUCUGCCUGCAAUGCGGGAGACCUGGGUUUGAUCCCUGGCUUGGGAA